CCUACGGGAGGCAGCAGUGGGGAAUAUUGGACAAUGGGCGAAAGCCUGAUCCAGCAAUGCCGCGUGAGUGAUGAAGGCCUUCGGGUCGUAAAGCUCUUUUACCAGGGAUGAUAAUGACAGUACCUGGAGAAUAAGCUCCGGCUAACUCCGUGCCAGCAGCCGCGGUAAUACGGAGGGAGCUAGCGUUGUUCGGAAUUACUGGGCGUAAAGAGUACGUAGGCGGUUAUUCAAGUCAGAGGUGAAAGCCCGGGGCUCAACCCCGGAACUGCCUUUGAAACUAGAUAACUAGAGUCUUGGAGAGGUUAGUGGAAUUCCGAGUGUAGAGGUGAAAUUCGUAGAUAUUCGGAAGAACACCAGUGGCGAAGGCGACUAACUGGACAAGUACUGACGCUGAGGUACGAAAGCGUGGGGAGCAAACAGGAUUAGAUACCCUGGUAGUCCACGCCGUAAACGAUGAUAACUAGUUGUUCGGUCACUUGGUGACUGAGUGACGCAGCUAACGCAUUAAGUUAUCCGCCUGGGGAGUACGGUCGCAAGAUUAAAACUCAAAGGAAUUGACGGCUGAGACGNGCGAGACGACGACGAGGAGAG
rnacentral:rRNA from 1 species